rnacentral:lncRNA from 1 species
UCACGGUUGGCAAUGCUUCCUUGUUUCUGGAACAUUUAACGGUGAUUUUCAUACACUUUAUAAUCCUAACUAUGAUUGUAAGGUAAUUCAUCAAAUGAUCUGGUGUAUGGUAGAACAAAUGGCAGAUUAUUUUGAGAAUUACAAAAACAGUCUUGUGGUAAAGAAAAAAAUACUUCAAUUCAGUCGGAUAAAACUAGCCGUUAACAUUAUUAUCUUUCUUUUGGAAAAAUCAAACAACUUGAAAGUACAGCGAGACAAAAUUACAAAAUAUCAUUUAAAUAAUAAACCGCAAUAUACACAUUUUAAACAACAGGUACGGUUACUAAUCAUUUCUAAACAUAGGCAAUGUCCUGAUACAGGAUGGAUGUUUCUUGCAUCUUUCUACUAUCGUCACAAGAGGUACCAUAUUGCAUUAGAAAUCAUUUCAAUUGUUUUAUCAAGUUCGUUAAAGGUAGAUCCCUCCACUCUAGCAACUACAGUUAACAUUGUUCACUUCGAAAAAAUGACA